AGUUGACAGAUAGGCUACGUAAAUUAAUUCAUUUCACCUUUCUACAUCAAAUCCGUUUACCUUUGCAAGCACAGUCCUCCCUUGGGGAAAACCAUAGAUAUAUGGGGGAAACCAACCAAACUAAACGGGAAUGAAGGAGGAAUGAAUAACACUACUAACCGAUAUCCCAUUGACAUAUAUAUAAGCGAUAUCCAUACUGUCUAUGGCGAUAUCCCCGCUUGACAUUAGAGGAAGUGACCCGAUGGUGUGAUUGGUCGAACUCUUCCUCUUUAGUUUUUUUUUCCAGCAUGCUCGUGGCUGCCUACUGUCUAUCAUCAAGAGUUAGACUGAGACGGUUACUGCACGUCAACGAGUGAACUCAAACCACCUGUCACCUGAUUUUCGCGUAGUUUAAAGUGACAAAUCGUAUCACCGUAUUUUGAUGUCAAAAUGCGUAUCUACUACGCAAAAUGCGUACAGGUUGGCAGGUCUGAAAGUGUCUCAGGUAAUGACAGUUUUAUCCACACUAAGCCUGAAGAGAUCGAAACCAACUAUUCAUAUUGCAAAACAGUGAGAUCUGUGUAGUGAUUGAGUGUUAUAGCUUAUGCCUUCGUGCCACAGAAAUCCAGUUUCUGACAGGACUCUGCCCAACACUACUCCACACAUUAAAAAAAUGCUGACGCAGAGUUGUUUUAGACACUUAGUGUAAACACACUCAUGUUCAAUGAUGCUUUGCUAGAUUAAUGAACUAAGAAGAAUAAACUACACUGGCCAUGCUCAUCACAACAAAGUAAUAUGUGACAACAGGAUGGCUCCAUGUGUUUUUAGGAUUUUUUGGAUGACUGGAGUUCUGUGUAAGAAACAUUACAUGUAUGUCAGACUGUGGAUUCACAGACCAUACUACAUUAAUUGCUGGUUUUAGUCUCUUCACAGGAUUUGUUGAUAACAAAAAUCCUGGGUGCUCUGUCCCUCCACCAUAAAGAUUCUGGGAUUGGUUCCCAGUAACGGUACCUUCGGCUUGGUUGUGUGUUCCAACGAACACAGUUGGCCAUGUUUGCAGGUGGUAUAGUGUGAGUCACAUCUCCAAAGCUCAUCAGUGGCAGGUGAAAUGAAGCAACUGGAGGUAGCAUGUCUGUCUGCAGCCCCAUCUGGACAACAGUGGAGUGACGUGGACUGCGGUGCAGAGGGAACUGGACAAUCCAACAGGAAAAUCUGCAAAAGAGCGAGCAGUCGGUUGUUUUUGAUGCGUGUUGUGCAGCGUACCAGGACUUGGACGGCUGAAAGACGUGUCUGUGUUCUCUCAUGCGACGGGAUGGGCAGAUCACACAGCGUCUGAAGUUGCGGCCAGAAAAUGCUCUCAUGGUCUCCAGGGAUUGAGACUUUGUCGCCUCUGCCAUCACAGCUCUCCAUCCUCCUCUUUGGGAAAACAGGGUAAUUGUUUGAUAUGAUUCAUCAGCUUUGCACUGGCCUAAGCACUGGCCAGUUCGUCUGUGUGUGCACUGGGCAAGGCCUGCCUAAGAGGAACAUCAGAGGGAAUUGGGUUUAUUGGAAAUGUAAUCAAAGGAGUCAAAGAGCCAACAAAGUGCAAUCUGUUGUACAACAAAAUCAAGUGGUCUGUUCAGGUCUGCCCCUCUAAUCUGUCUGAUACCGUUUCAUUCCACCAACAAAACACAGAGACACUACACAUCACUUACUUCUCUAAUAUAUCACUUUAGCCUAGGUCACACACACAAUAAUAUUAACGUAUGAAAAUAUGAAAAACUGUAUGAACUGCACUAGCUUUGUUUCCUCCAGCGGAGGAACUGCUGUAGUUAGCAUCAGACGUAUGCCAGCAUGUUGGUAUUUUUUUUGAGAGACUUAAUAUUGCACAAAAUUCAUAACAGACGUUAUGUGCCUAGUGUCAACCCCUUCAGAAAAGCAAAAAUCUAAGAGUGUCUGUCAGGUGAUUUACAUCUUUUGCAGCUGUAUGUUUAAACAAGAAAGGAAAGCCUGUUUUAGCAUUUUAUUUUAAUCACAGUCUGUUUUAAUAAAAGUGCUUGUGAAAUCUCA